rnacentral:rRNA from 1 species
UACAGAGGUCCCGAGCGUUGUUCGGAUUCACUGGGCGUAAAGGGUGCGCAGGUGGCUUGGCAAGUUUGAUGUGAAAGCUCAGGGCUUAACCCUGAAAUGGCAUUGAAUACUGUUGAGCUGGAGGUUUGGAGGGGGGACUGGAAUUCUUGGUGUAGCAGUGAAAUGCGUAGAUAUCGUAAGGAAGACCAGUGGCGGAAGGCGGGUCUCUGGACAGUUCCUGACGCUGAGGCACGAAGGUCAGGGGAGCAAACGGG